rnacentral:lncRNA from 1 species
ACUAAUAUAAUCAUAAACAUAUAAGAAAUAAAAAUCUAAAUUUCCAACACUUGAAAUGUUCAACCAUUGUUGCACGAGAAAAUAAAAUACAAUAAGUAACCAACAAAUUUCAAAUGUAAAUAAUGUCUUCAACACUUCAUCAACAAAUCAAGCUCCGAUGCAUAAGCUCUUCAACAUUAACUAUAUUAAGAAGCAAAAGAAACCAGCAAGUGAGCUGCCAAAAAAAAAGAGCGCAAAACAGCUGCCAAAAAAUUGAAAGAAUCAGACACGAAAAACCAGCAAAAAAUAGUCCAAAGAGCCAGCAAAAAGUAGAAAGCAGGUGAUGCUUUAAGUCUUGUAAAGUAUAAUUAUUUUAGACUUGCUACCGAGGGAUAGCUCUCCAUUUUGUUCAAACUUCAAUUAGCAAAUCAAACCCAAAGAAAAGGACAAGAAAAUUAGACGAUCAGCAAAUUGUGGCCAGAAAAAGCAAUACAUUACUUGAGGAGGUUUCUUGUUCAGGCGCAAGCCCACACAUUUCAGGGCUAACCUGGGCGACAAAUUGUCGUGGUGAUUUGUGUUCUUCGGAGCUGCCUCCCUUAAUGGAUCCGUCAUCUGAUGAAGCUCAAACGAGAACCACAGUUGCUGAGGCAUCCAACGUGACCUGCUUCUCCAACCCAACGUGACCUCAAUACACCAACUUUAUCAAAACUCCUUAUGCAACUUCAGCUUCAAAUAUCUCUGCUAAAGUAGACAGCGGAAUUCGUAAAGCUCAAACCUUAAUCCAAGAACUGACACCUUAAUCCAAACUCAGCCUAACGACCUCUGCAGUUGCCUGAGCAGCAGCAAGAGCAGCCUCGGCAACGGCGGCGGUGGCAGCCGCUACGACUAUGGCGUGUUUGUUUGGGUCCAAUUCUGUGAAGGAGCUGGAAGAAGGGUUGUCAACAGGCUUAGUUAGGACUGUCGGUGGAGGAAGAUGUUAGAUU